rnacentral:rRNA from 1 species
AGUGAACGCUGGCGGUAGGCCUAACACAUGCAAGUCGAACGGCAGCACAGUAAGAGCUUGCUCUUACGGGUGGCGAGUGGCGGACGGGUGAGGAAUACAUCGGAAUCUACUUUUUCGUGGGGGAUAACGUAGGGAAACUUACGCUAAUACCGCAUACGACCUACGGUUGAAAGCAGGGGAUCUUCGGACCUUGCGCGAUUGAAUGAGCCGAUGUCGGAUUAGCUAGUUGGCGGGGUAAAGGCCCACCAAGGCGACGAUCCGUAGCUGGUCUGAGAGGAUGAUCAGCCACACUGGAACUGAGACACGGUCCAGACUCCUACGGGAGGCAGCAGUGGGGAAUAUUGGACAAUGGGCGCAAGCAUGAUCCAGCCAUACCGCGUGGGUGAAGAAGGCCUUCGGGUUGUAAAGACCUUUUGUUGGGAAAGAAAAGCAGCAGGUUAAGACCACGCUGUUCUGACGGUACCCAAAGAAUAAGCACCGGCUAACUUCGUG